rnacentral:misc_RNA from 1 species
GAAAUGCGAUAAGUAAUGUGAAUUGCAGAAUUCAGUGAAUCAUCGAAUCUUUUAACGCACCUUGCGCUCCUUGGUAUUCCUUGGAGCAUGCCUGUUUGAGUAUCAUGAAAUCUUCAAAGUAAAUCUUUUGUUAACUCAAUUGGUUUCUACUUUGGUAUUGGAGGUCUUUGCAGCUUCACACCUGCUCCUCUUUGUUCAUUAGCUGGAUCUCAGUGUUAUGCUUGGUUCCACUCGGCGUGAUAAGUUAUCUAUCGCUGAGGACACUGUAAAAGGUGGCCAAGGUAAAUGCAGAUGAACCGCUUCUAAUAGUCCAUUGACUUGGACAAUACUUUUAUGAUCUGAUCUCAAAUCAGGUAGGACUACCCGCUGAACUUAAGC